rnacentral:rRNA from 1 species
GACGAACGCUGGCGGCGUGCUUAACACAUGCAAGUCGAACGGAAAGGCCCUGCUUUUGUGGGGUGCUCGAGUGGCGAACGGGUGAGUAACACGUGAGUAACCUGCCCCUGACUUUGGGAUAACUUCAGGAAACUGGGGCUAAUACCGGAUAGGAGCUCCUGCUGCAUGGUGGGGGUUGGAAAGUUUCGGCGGUUGGGGAUGGACUGGCGGCUUAUCAGCUUGUUGGUGGGGUAGUGGCUUACCAAGGCUUUGACGGGUAGCCGGCCUGAGAGGGUGACCGGCGACAUUGGGACUGGGAUACGGCCCAGACGCCUACGGGAGGCAGCAGUGGGGAAUAUUGCACAAUGGGCGGAAGCCUGAUGCAGCAACGCCGCGUGCGGGAUGACGGCCUUCGGGUUGUAAACCGCUUUCGCCUGUGACGAAGCGUGAGUGACGGUAAUGGGUGAAGAAGCACCGGCUAACCACGUG